UUUUAUACUGUCCAGAUUUGU
rnacentral:miRNA from 1 species